ACGUCAGAACUGUUUCGGUCUUCCAUCAGGGUUUCCCCUGACUUCAACCUGAUCAAGUAUAGUUCACCAUCUUUCGGGUCACAGCAUAUAUGCUCAAGGUACGUUCCAGUUAGAGGUAUAAAUAAUAUAAAUAUUAUCAUACAUAACUAUAUAGAACGCCCCGGGAUUGUGUUAAUCAACUAUAAAUAGUUAAAAAACUAAUCCCAUUAAUAGCCAAGUUAAUUACGCUAUUAGGUUU
rnacentral:rRNA from 1 species